UACAGAGAGUGCAAGCGUUAAUCGGAAUUACUGGGCGUAAAGCGUGCGUAGGUGGAUACUUAAGUCGAAUGUGAAAGCCCCGGGCUCAACCUGGGAACUGCAUCCGAUACUGGGUAUCUAGAGUAUGGUAGAGGGAAGUGGAAUUUCCGGUGUAGCGGUGAAAUGCGUAGAUAUCGGAAAGAACACCAGUGGCGAAAGCGGCUUCCUGGACUAAUACUGACACUAAGGCACGAAAGCGUGGGGAGCAAACAGG
rnacentral:rRNA from 1 species